UGGAAAGCUUAUGUUGUCUCGUAUUGAAC
rnacentral:piRNA from 1 species